rnacentral:snRNA from 1 species
ACGCUUCAGCAGCCCAUACAGCAAAACUGGAUCAAUAGAGGUUAGCACUGCCCUGCAUAAGAAUGACAGGCAGAUUCAGGAAGGAGUCCAUAUUUUU